UUCAAACGGAGGCACAGUUUGUUGAAGGAAGUAAUGCUGCUAUAAUUGGUGGUACAUCUGCAUCAGCAGUCGUUUUAAUAUCUGUUGCAGUGGUUAUUUUCUUUUUGUAUCGAAGAAAACGACGCCGACAACGAAAUGAAAGAGAACCAAACCUAUACACAGACCUCUCUUGUGAAAGAAGGACUUCGGAGACCGAAUACUCUAACACUUAUGAGUUACAACUUCCAAAUGGCUUAAAUUCAACAGAAAGAGCAUCAAGCCACGAGGCUGAAAUAUGCAGUACUACGGAAAAAGAAGGACCGUUUUAUUGUAAUAUUGCGCUCGAAUAACGCAUCAAACCUCAAAAUUAGAAGGCUAUGUUUCUUUCAAAUACAGUCGACACGACAAGACAGGAAAAUCGUUAAGUGUUAUACUACCUUUGAACUAGAUUACAAACGAAAGGACAGUUCACUAUUAUAUAUGAAAGAAAACGUUUUUCAUAAUGUAAAAAAAUUUCAUCGCUUUCUAUUAAAUAAUACAUAUUCUCUGAUGAAUACAUCGGUUAUAUAUGCAUACAGACAGUACUAUCUAAACGAACACCUAUAAAAACGCAGAAGUAGUCUUUUACCAGGGUUUCAGAACCCUGCAAAUUUAUUGCUUGCCUUCUUGGCCAGCUGUACAUUUGUCUGGCAGUCCUAUUAAUUUUGGUUUGAUUGGAAACAGUUUCUUACUGCUUGUAAACUACACCUGAAUGGAAGUCAUGAAUUUUCAUUGGGUUUCAUAGUUUUACACAUGCAUACUAAUAUACAAAUGCCCUUAUAGAUUUUAUUAUCUAAAAUAGCAAUAAUUAUUGUCAAUCUUUGUUUUCCUUGGAAAUUUGCAUUAGACGAUAAAACUACUAGUAGAUAAAUUGGAACGUCUCCCUUCAGUUAUUGAAAACUGAUAAUAUGUCAGUCAAUUGUUAUUUACAAAUUCUUUACAGUAUCAAAUGUAAUUUAUGCUAUGAAAUCAUUUAAAACUGAUAACUAAUUCUGUCUUAUUUUAAACAUGUUUUAAUUAUUGGUAUAACAAAGUAAAUGACGUCACUCACUCUCUUUGUAGUAUGUACCCACAA
rnacentral:lncRNA from 1 species